rnacentral:rRNA from 1 species
CCUACGGGAGGCAGCAGUGGGGAAUAUUGCACAAUGGGGGAAACCCUGAUGCAGCAACGCCGCGUGGGUGAAGGAGCGUUUCUGCGCGUAAAGCCCUGUCAGCGGGGAAGCAGGAAGACGGUACCCGACCAAUAAGCCCCGGCUAACUACGUGCCAGCAGCCGCGGUAAUACGGAGGGGGCGAGCGUUAUCCGGAAUUACUGGGUGUAAAGGGGGCUUAGUCGGCGAGGUAAACCUGUAGUGGAAGCCCGCGGCCCAACCGCGGAACUGCUUUGGAAACUGGUUUGCUGGAGUAUGGGAGGGGUAAGCGGAAUGCCUGGUGUAGCGGUGAAAUGCGUAGAUAUCAGGAGGAACACCGGUGGCGAAGGCGGCUUACUGGACCAUAACUGACGUUGAGGCACGAAAGCGUGGGGAGCGAACAGGAUUAGAUACCCUGGUAGUC